GGACUACAGGGGUAUCUAAUCCUGUUUGAUCCCCUUGCUUUCGCGCCUCAGCGUCAGGAGUAAGCUAGAAAACCGCCUUCGCCACUGGUGUUCCUCCACAUAUCUACGCAUUUCACCGCUACAUGUGGAAUUCCAUUUUCUCCGCCUACCCUCUAGAAAUGUAGUUUCAAAUGCAGUUCCUGGGUUGAGCCCAGGGAUUUCACAUCUGACUUACAUCCCAGCCUACGCGCCCUUUACGCCCAAUAAAUCCGAUUAAUGCUUGCACCCUCCGUAUUACCGCGGCGGCUGGCAC
rnacentral:rRNA from 1 species